rnacentral:tRNA from 1 species
UCCUGGUUAGCUCAGUUGGUAGAGCGCUCCACUGGGAAUGGAGAUGUCUCUGGUUCGAUACCAGGACCAGGCG